GACGAACGCUGGCGGCGUGCUUAACACAUGCAAGUCGAACGGAAAGGCCCUGCUUUUGUGGGGUGCUCGAGUGGCGAACGGGUGAGUAACACGUGAGUAACCUGCCCUUGACUUUGGGAUAACUUCAGGAGACUGGGGCUGAUACCGGAUAGGAGCUCCUGCUGCAUGGUGGGGGUUGGAAAGUUUCGGCGGUUGGGGAUGGACUCGCGGCUUAUCAGCUUGUUGGUGGGGUAGUGGCUUACCAAGGCUUUGACGGGUAGCCGGCCUGAGAGGGUGACCGGCUACAUUGGGACUGAGAUACGGCCCAGACUCCUACGGGAGGCAGCAGUGGGGAAUAUUGCACAAUGGGCGGAAGCCUGAUGCAGCAACGCCGCGUGCGGGAUGACGGCCUUCGGGUUGUAAACCGCUUUCGCCUGUGACGAAGCGUGAGUGACGGUAAUGGGUAAAGAAGCACCGGCUAACUACGUG
rnacentral:rRNA from 1 species